rnacentral:rRNA from 1 species
GACGAACGCGGGGGCGUGCCUAAUACAUGCAAGUCGAGCGGACUCUUUGGAGGUCAGCGGCGGACGGGUGAGUAACACGUGGGCAACCUGCCUGUAAGACUGGGAUAACUCCGGGAAACCGGAGCUAAUACCGGAUAUUAUGUCAAACCGCAUGGUUUGACAUUCAAAGACGGUUUCGGCUGUCACUUACAGAUGGGCCCGCGGCGCAUUAGCUAGUUGGUGAGGUAAUGGCUCACCAAGGCGACGAUGCGUAGCCGACCUGAGAGGGUGAUCGGCCACACUGGGACUGAGACACGGCCCAGACUCCUACGGGAGGCAGCAGUAGGGAAUCUUCCGCAAUGGACGAAAGUCUGACGGAGCAACGCCGCGUGAGUGAUGAAGGUUUUCGGAUCGUAAAACUCUGUUGUCAGGGAAGAACAAGUGCCGGAGUAACUGCCGGCACCUUGACGGUACCUGACCAGAAAGCCACGGCUAACUACGUGCCAGCAGCCGCGGUAAUACGUAGGUGGCAAGCGUUGUCCGGAAUUAUUGGGCGUAAAGCGCGCGCAGGCGGUUUCUUAAGUCUGAUGUGAAAGCCCCCGGCUCAACCGGGGAGGGUCAUUGGAAACUGGGAAACUUGAGUGCAGAAGAGGAGAGUGGAAUUCCACGUGUAGCGGUGAAAUGCGUAGAGAUGUGGAGGAACACCAGUGGCGAAGGCGACUCUCUGGUCUGUAACUGACGCUGAGGCGCGAAAGCGUGGGGAGCGAACAGGAUUAGAUACCCUGGUAGUCCACGCCGUAAACGAUGAGUGCUAAGUGUUAGAGGGUUUCCGCCCUUUAGUGCUGCAGCUAACGCAUUAAGCACUCCGCCUGGGGAGUACGGUCGCAAGACUGAAACUCAAAGGAAUUGACGGGGGCCCGCACAAGCGGUGGAGCAUGUGGUUUAAUUCGAAGCAACGC